rnacentral:rRNA from 1 species
UGGGGAAUAUUGCACAAUGGGCGCAAGCCUGAUGCAGCAACGCCGCGUGAACGAUGAAGGUCUUCGGAUCGUAAAGUUCUGUUGCAGGGGAAGAUAAUGACGGUACCCUGUGAGGAAGCCCCGGCUAACUACGUGCCAGCAGCCGCGGUAAUACGUAGGGGGCUAGCGUUAUCCGGAUUUACUGGGCGUAAAGGGUGCGUAGGUGGUCUUUCAAGUCGGUGGUUAAAGGCUACGGCUCAACCGUAGUUAGCCUCCGAAACUGGAAGACUUGAGUGCAGGAGAGGAAAGUGGAAUUCCCAGUGUAGCGGUGAAAUGCGUAGAUAUUGGAAGGAACACCAGUAGCGAAGGCGGCUUUCUGGACUGCAACUGACACUGAGGCACGAAAGCGUGGGUAGCAAACAGG